rnacentral:rRNA from 1 species
ACGCACGCUGGCGGCGUGCUUAACACAUGCAAGUCGAACGGAAAGGCCCUGCUUUUGUGGGGUGCUCGAGUGGCGAACGGGUGAGUAACACGUGAGUAACCUGCCCUUGACUUUGGGAUAACUUCAGGAAACUGGGGCUAAUACCGGAUAGGAGCUCCUGCUGCAUGGUGGGGGUUGGAAAGUUUCGGCGGUUGGGGAUGGACUCGCGGCUUAUCAGCUUGUUGGUGGGGUAGUGGCUUACCAAGGCUUUGGCGGGUAGCCGGCCUGAGAGGGUGACCGGCCACAUUGGGACUGAGAUACGGCCCAGACUCCUACGGGAGGCAGCAGUGGGGAAUAUUGCACAAUGGGCGGAAGCCUGAUGCAGCAACGCCGCGUGCGGGAUGACGGCCUUCGGGUUGUAAACCGCUUUCGCCUGUGACGAAGCGUGAGUGACGGUAAUGGGUAAAGAAGCACCGGCUAACUACGUG